rnacentral:tRNA from 2 species
UCCCCGAUAGCUCAACGGUAGAGCGAGCGGCUGUUAACCGCUAGGUUCUUGGUUCGAAUCCAAGUCGGGGAGC